rnacentral:rRNA from 1 species
UAGAGAUGGGCAUGCGUUUCAUUAGCUAGUUGGUAAGGUAACGGCUUACCAAGGCUACGAUGAAUAGCUGGUCUGAGAGGAUGAUCAGCCACACUGGCACUGAGACACGGGCCAGACUCCUACGGGAGGCAGCAGUAGGGAAUAUUGGUCAAUGGGCGAAAGCCUGAACCAACCAUGCCGCGUGCAGGAUGAAUGCCUCUGGGGUGUAAACUGCUUUUCUUAUAAGAAGAAACUCUCACUUGUCGGAAUUGACGGAUCUAGAAUAACACCGGCUAAUUCCUGGCCAGCAGCCGCGGUAAUACGAGGGUGCGAGCGUAUUCCGAUUACUGGGUUAAAGGGGAGUAGGCGGCCCUAUAAUCAGUGGUGAAAGCCGUGGCUUAACCUACAAUGCCAUUGAACUGUUGGCUUGAGUUUUAUUUGAGGAAACGGAAUGUAUCCAUGUUUCCGUGGAAA